rnacentral:rRNA from 1 species
CCUACGGGAGGCUGCAGUGAGGAAUAUUGGUCAAUGGACGAGAGUCUGAACCAGCCAAGUAGCGUGAAGGAUGACUGCCCUAUGGGUUGUAAACUUCUUUUAUAAAGGAAUAAAACGAGGCACGUGUCCCUUUCUGCAUGUACUUUAUGAAUAAGGAUCGGCUAACUCCGUGCCAGCAGCCGCGGUAAUACGGAGGAUGCGAGCGUUAUCCGGAUUUAUUGGGUUUAAAGGGAGCGUAGAUGGGGUGGUAAGUCCGUAGUGAAAGUUUAUGGCGUAACCGUGAAAUUGCAAUUGAUACUGGCGGGCUUGAGUACGGUUGGGGUAGGCGGAAUUCGUGGUGUAGCGGUGAAAUGCGUAGAUAUCACGAGGAACACCGGUGGCGAAGGCGGCUUACUAAACUGUAACUGACGUUGAGGCUCGAAAGCGUGGGGAUCAAACAGGAUUAGAUACCCUGGUAGUC